rnacentral:rRNA from 2 species
AGGGUUGAAAGAUGGUUUCGGCUAUCACUUUAGGAUGGACCCGCGGUGCAUUAGUUAGUUGGUGAGGUAAAGGCUCACCAAGACCGUGAUGCAUAGCCGACCUGAGAGGGUAAUCGGCCACACUGGGACUGAGACACGGCCCAGACUCCUACGGGAGGCAGCAGUAGGGAAUCUUCCACAAUGGACGAAAGUCUGAUGGAGCAACGCCGCGUGAGUGAAGAAGGUUUUCGGAUCGUAAAACUCUGUUGUUGGAGAAGAAUGUAUCUGAUAGUAACUGAUCAGGUAGUGACGGUAUCCAACCAGAAAGCCACGGCUAACUACGUGCCAGCAGCCGCGGUAAUACGUAGGUGGCAAGCGUUGUCCGGAUUUAUUGGGCGUAAAGCGAGCGCAGGCGGUUUCUUAAGUCUGAUGUGAAAGCCUUCGGCUCAACCGAAGAAGUGCAUCGGAAACUGGGAAACUUGAGUGCAGAAGAGGACAGUGGAACUCCAUGUGUAGCGGUGAAAUGCGUAGAUAUAUGGAAGAACACCAGUGGCGAAGGCGGCUGUCUGGUCUGUAACUGACGCUGAGGCUCGAAAGCAUGGGUAGCAAACAGGAUUAGAUACCCUGGUAGUCCAUGCCGUAAACGAUGAGUGCUAGGUGUUGGAGGGUUUCCGCCCUUCAGUGCCGCAGCUAACGCAUUAAGCACUCCGCCUGGGGAGUACGACCGCAAGGUUGAAACUCAAAGGAAUUGACGGGGGCCCGCACAAGCGGUGGAGCAUGUGGUUUAAUUCGAAGCAACGCGAAGAACCUUACCAGGUCUUGACAUCCUUUGACCACUCUAGAGAUAGAGCUUUCCCUUCGGGGACAAAGUGACAGGUGGUGCAUGGUUGUCGUCAGCUCGUGUCGUGAGAUGUUGGGUUAAGUCCCGCAACGAGCGCAACCCUUAUUACUAGUUGCCAGCAUUAAGUUGGGCACUCUAGUGAGACUGCCGGUGACAAACCGGAGGAAGGUGGGGACGACGUCAAAUCAUCAUGCCCCUUAUGACCUGGGCUACACACGUGCUACAAUGGAUGGUACAACGAGUUGCGAGACCGCGAGGUUUAGCUAAUCUCUUAAAACCAUUCUCAGUUCGGAUUGUAGGCUGCAACUCGCCUACAUGAAGCCGGAAUCGCUAGUAAUCGCGGAUCAGCAUGCCGCGGUGAAUACGUUCCCGGGCCUUGUACACACCGCCCGUCACACCAUGAGAGUUUGUAACACCCAAAGCCGGUGAGGUAACCCUUCGGGGAGCCAGCCGUCUAAGGUGGGACAGAUGAUUAGGGUGAAGUCGUAACAAGGUAGCCGUAGGAGAACCUGCGGCUGGAUCACCU